GGAGGUCCAUGGCUGGCAAUUCCCUUUUCGACUCCGUUUUUUCUCUGCUCCUGUUCGCCGUCUCCCAUGGUAGGCACCUUGAAGCUCCACCGGCCGGAGCCUUUUACCUGUUUUCCUUGCGUCUUUGCCCGAGCCGCUCUCACCCCGCACCCUCGUGCCCCGCGCCGUGCUGCUCCUGAACACCGCCGCCUCCUGUUGCGCUGCCCACGUUGGUGCCGCCUCGGGUCCCGCGCACCUGACCG
rnacentral:lncRNA from 1 species